rnacentral:misc_RNA from 1 species
AAGUGAUAUCUUUUUUCGUCACGGAAGACAAAAUUUUCACAUAAAUGAAUGGGAUAUUACAUGGGAUUUUACAUCUUGUAUUACAAUGCCUCUUUCCAUGUUGCAUACGGCUAACAACACUGACAUCUCUUCCAGGCUCCAACACAAAUAACUGCAGACCAAAAAGAAUAUUGAAGACAAAUGAUCACAUGCAGAGGGUGACCACAUGCACGCACUAUAGAAGCACAACACGAAUGGAAAUAAUGCUACUCUACACCGACACGUUAUCCACAAGCCACAAGUCUCUGGCAUUGACAUAAAUUUACACAACACACUGAAACUUCACUUCUUCAUCACUGCUAUAGAAAUCAAUCAAACGCCUCAUGCUGGGGAAUGCCAGAUAUCAGAGUCAUAGAUAGCAAGGACGAGCUUACUU